rnacentral:rRNA from 1 species
UGGGGAAUUUUGGACAAUGGGCGCAAGCCUGAUCCAGCCAUGCCGCGUGCGGGAAGAAGGCCUUCGGGUUGUAAACCGCUUUUGUCAGGAACGAAACGGUGAUGGCGAAUAACCAUUGCUAAUGACGGUACCUGAAGAAUAAGCACCGGCUAACUACGUGCCAGCAGCCGCGGUAAUACGUAGGGUGCAAGCGUUAAUCGGAAUUACUGGGCGUAAAGCGUGCGCAGGCGGUUAUGUAAGACAGGUGUGAAAUCCCCGGGCUCAACCUGGGAACUGCAUUUGUGACUGCAUAGCUAGAGUUUGUCAGAGGGGGGUGGAAUUCCACGUGUAGCAGUGAAAUGCGUAGAUAUGUGGAAGAACACCGAUGGCGAAGGCAGCCCCCUGGGAUAAGACUGACGCUCAUGCACGAAAGCGUGGGGAGCAAACA